rnacentral:rRNA from 1 species
AUUGAACGCUGGCGGCAGGCCUAACACAUGCAAGUCGAGCGGGGUUUUCGGAUCUAGCGGCGGACGGGUGAGUAAUGCGUAGGAAGCUGCCCGAUAGAGGGGGAUACCGGUUGGAAACGACUGUUAAUACCGCAUAAUGUCUACGGACCAAAGUGUGGGACCUUCGGGCCACAUGCUAUCGGAUGCGCCUACGUGGGAUUAGCUAGUUGGUUAGGUAAUGGCUCACCAAGGCGACGAUCUCUAGCUGGUUUGGGAGGAUGAUCAGCCACACUGGAACUGAGACACGGUCCAGACUCCUACGGGAGGCAGCAGUGGGGAAUAUUGGACAAUGGGCGCAAGCCUGAUCCAGCCAUGCCGCGUGUGUGAAGAAGGCCUUCGGGUUGUAAAGCACUUUCAGCGAGGAGGAAGGGUGGUGUGUUAAUAGCACAUCAUUUUGACGUUACUCGCAGAAGAAGCACCGGCUAACUCUGUGCCAGCCGCCGCCGUAAAAC